CUCAAUCUCGAAACCCCUCUUAGUGGAGAAAGUUAUUUGCUUGUUGAAAUGAGUUUGUUGAAAUGUGUCGCUUUCGUUGUUCUUUUGUGUGUGUAAAUUCGGUACUAAAAGACUAAAGUUUUAACUGAUAUGGGUCAGGAAUCGUGUAGGACCAGAAAGCUGAAUGGUGAAGGUUCGCGCCAACAGUCACUGAAAUUGCAGACCUAGACUUACCAACAAGGAUUUAGUCUUGUUGCCUCAUCCAUCAUGCACUGAAAGAAUAGCAGACAGUCCGGGAAUCUCAAAGACCGGUUUGCAAGUAAAGGGAGUUUUUGCACAGUCUGCUCAGCUUGUCCGACGCGCUGAACUUAAAGAUCAUCAUACUGAAUGUAUAUGGUUAUCGUCAUCUUGCGCUCGGGAAACACGGGAUGGCAGACGAUGGGUCAAGACUGCGUGUUUCCCGAUCGUACGGUGAGGAUGCAACCAUAAUCAGCCUAAGCCCGAAAGGAGAGGAAGGGUAUUACCGUUUGUGUAGUACAGAAUCGUGAGACCAUGAGUUUAGGAACUCCACUUUUUUUUUAAAUUUUUGCUUUCUUGCCUAACAGUUUGUUUAGUUCAGGACCAUGAGUUUAAGAACUCCACUUUUUUUUAAUUUUUGCUUUAUUGCCUAACAGUUAAUAUAUGCAUUUAGUUUUUGCUUUUAGUUAAUAUUUGUUUGCUUAAUAAAAUUUUGUUUGCUUAAUAAAUAUUUAUUUUGCUUUUCAUUCAGCAAAAAUGUAAUUUUACUUAUUCGUACUUUAGUUUUUAUUUAGUAAUUUAUAUUUAGUUUGUAUUU